rnacentral:rRNA from 1 species
UGGGGAAUAUUGCACAAUGGGGGAAACCCUGAUGCAGCGACGCCGCGUGAGCGAAGAAGGCUUUCGAGUCGUAAAGCUCUGUCCUAUGAGAAGAUAAUGACGGUAUCAUAGGAGGAAGCCCUGGCUAAAUACGUGCCAGCAGCCGCGGUAAUACGUAUGGGGCGAGCGUUGUCCGGAAUUAUUGGGCGUAAAGGGUACGUAGGCGGUUUUUUAAGUCAGGUGUCAAAGCGUGGAGCUUAACUCCAUUAAGCACUUGAAACUGAAAGACUUGAGUGAAGGAGAGGAAAGUGGAAUUCCUAGUGUAGCGGUGAAAUGCGUAGAUAUUAGGAGGAAUACCGGUGGCGAAGGCGACUUUCUGGACUUUUACUGACGCUCAGGUACGAAAGCGGGGGGAGCAAACAGG